CCACAAUCCACACUUUAAGGGUGACUGAAACUACUCUUGAUUAGCCACCUGGGAGAACUUAGGAUUAGACCAGCAAUGCCUUCCAAGCAACACUACAGAUGUAGUGAUGAGAGCAAGGGAGUGUGCAGCGUCCGUUCUUCUUCCCUCUCAUUUCUAUCUGUUUGCUGUCAUUGUAUUUAAUAUUGGCAUCAUCUAAACAAGCUGAAAGAUAAAAACUUUUGCACAUGCAAUCUAAAAUAAAACCUAUUAAAACAUGCCGUCUGUGAACAGAUAACAGGAAGCGUAAUGGAAAGAGUAUCUUUCCGAUUGUGUGAAGCCUUUGACCACAGAGUUGUCGAAAAUAACAAGAAAAUUACAUAACACUUCUGUCAUGUAGAUUAGAUAACCGCAAAUCAUGCUCAUGAAAUAACCCACACAUGGGGUUAAAAAAAAGUUCUGGUACAAUGAUUUAGUACAGAACAUCAUAGAAGGGGUUUAGACCACUUUAUUUUUCUGUGUUCAAACAUUAAUGUCUAUGUCAGUUUUAGGCUCUUAUUUAUAAAAGUGUGCAUAAAACAAAUGUGUUUAACACAUCUAUGGCCACAGACAAAAUCCUGGCCCUUGUUCAUUAAACCAUGCAGAUGUAGACAGAACCCAAGCACUUUUAGUAAAUUUAGAACACUUAAAGGUCCUUUAGUUGUUUCUCUGGUGAUAUAUACAGUAACAGAGUAUUCUAUAUAGCCAAAAGUAUGUGCACAUUUAUUCCCCUUUGCUGUCAUGAUGUUAUGAUCAGCUCCACUCUUCUCUCUUGGAAGGUUUUCCACCAGAUGUUGGAUUGUGGCUGUAGGGAUUUGUGGGUAUUCAUUUAGCUACAAGAUCAUUAGUGAGAUCAGACACUGAUGUUGGGAUGUGGAGGAGACUCCAGUUCCAGUUCAUCCUUAUUAUGUUUAUGGGGUUGAGUCAGAGUCAGGGCUCUGUGUAGUAAACCCCAGUUCUCCACGCCAACCUUCAUCUCCACACCAUGUCUUCAUGGAUCUGUUUUGUUCACAGUGACAUUGUCAUGAUGGAACAGGGUUUGAGUCUCUUAAAGCUACAUCACACAGACACAUUUUAUAAAUCUGUGUGCUUCAGUUUUUCUGGUAAGAGUUUGGAGAAGAGGCACAUAUGGGUGUGAUGGUCAGAUGUCCACAAACUUUAGACCAUAUAAUGAAUGUAUUUAUCAUAUCAAAACGGCUUCCGAGAACCUUGAAGAACCUUUUUUCCUAGCUAAUGUCAGCUGCCUAAUGUUUAUCAGUAUGUGUCUCAAAUACUUUUAGUUUUGUCUUUUUUCUCUGGACUGAUUUGGGCUCGUGUAUAAAUACUUAAUGUGUUAUUUUUAUAUCACUGCUGUUUAUUUAUACAUUUUUACAUAUAUAUUAACAUCAGGCACUUAACAUUAGCAUCAAGCUGGGCAGUACAUGAUUAUUAAUUUACAUUUGGAGUAUUCUAGAGGUUUUCCCAUUUGUAACAAAGGCAGACUAUUUUCUUAUGCAACAUUAAACUUGCGUAUUUAUUCAUCUAAAUCACCAGCUGAUCCUAGUAACAUUUAUGCAGUAAUUCAAAAUAGAAUAAGUAUUUAUUUUACAGUAGUUAUUGUUAAGUUCUUUAUACAAAACAAAUAAACAGCAGAACAAUAGUUUUUAUGAUGAUGUAAUACAUUUGAAAACCUUGUGCUGGUCAGUGUCUCCUAGCCUGUAAGUUAACUGUUGCGUACGUCACACAGUCCAAAUCUGAUGAUGUCUUUUUCUUAGAAGCUGCUCUGUGCUUUCUUUUGUGUUGGAUGCUGGCAUAAUGAACAUUUUCUUCCUGCUGAGAGAGAUGGAGAGCCAUCAUAAAACAUCAAGGAGCAACAACAUCAUUAAUAUUUAUUGCUAAAUAUCUAUAUAUGUGAUGCUUUACUAUUACUAUUACUCUCUCUCUCUCUCUCUCUCUCUCUCUCUCUCUCUCUCUCUCUCUGUAUAUUGGCAUUACAAAAUCAUUUGCAUUAAUAUUCAAAUUAACAUUUAAAUGCAUUAGCAUGCUAAAUCCAAGUCUAUAUCUAAGUAACUUCAUAUUCCAUGAAACAUUUCUCAAUUGUACACAUCCAUUUCUUUCCACCGGUAAAUUGAUGUAGCAUACAGAUCGUACUAAAUGACACGUGCUGUACAUGUAUGCAGUAACACUUCACCUGUCACAUGUCUAACACUGACUUACAUAUUCUAAUGAGAUUUUAACUUAACAUUCAUAACUUUUAACCUGUUUCUUAAAACAAUGCAUCUAAAUUUGUAUCAAAUUGAUAUCUGAUUAUAUCAGUUGGAUAGAUUUAAUUUGACAUAAAUGACCUGAAAAUUAUCUGUAAAAUUAAUAGUGACCAUAAAUCUGAGGGCAAUCUGUUGAACCGUCACUUUUCACUUUAAGUUUUUAUAUUACUUUGAAACAAAUUGAUCGUUUUGAACAACAAAUAAAACCAAAAGGUAAACUAAUCUAGUUAAAAUAAAAUGGUACCUUAUCCAUCUUUUCAGUGGAACCUUUUAUGUUACUGCAACAGUAUGAUGAUGAUGAUGAUGAUGAUGAUGAUGAUGACCUUCCUGAAAGAAAUGAAUUUGAAUUAAAAAUUACACUACAUACAAAAUUUAACCACAGAUUGUUGGCUAAUAAUAACAUUUCAGACUAUUUUUACUGAAUUAAAUUUAAUUAAUAGAUGACCUACAAACGAUGUGUAUGAGCAUUUGGUGAGUCAUUAGAGUAGUAAAGAAGGCCAUGAGUUGCUGCUGGACUGCUGUUAAUUAUACAUGCAUUAUUUAAUACUCUACUCGCUGGUUCUUUUUUCCACUCUGUCCAUAUUAAUAAGGCAGAAAACAAAUAAUUUAUUUUGUGGUCUGUAAUUAAAUUAGCAGGAGAUUUUGAAUUGUGAGACUUUAAAACAUCUUCAUGUAUAAAUUGAACUAAUUUGAAUAGUAUUUAAAUAGUUAUUUUACAGCUUAUUAAAAACUGUGAAUAUUAAAGAUGAUCUGGAUAAAAAAAACUGCACCUUUGAACCUGUAGCAGAUCACACACAUACAGAUGAGGUUUAUUAGGACAGAGAUCAGACACACAAUCCGUGUAAUCCACAUCUCUGAUCCUGUACACAGCUCAGUAUCUGGAUGCUUAGACGAGGUGUCAUGGUCUUCUGAAAUACAUAACGCAUAGUGUCAAAGAAAUCAGUACAGAGAGAAACCUGAGGAAAACCCUUACACUGUGUAUGAGUUUAAAAUCAUAACUUUAAUCCAUUUUCUCUUUCGGUAGUUCACCUUCUGUUAGUUUCAAACACUCCUGUUUCCCGGCACUGCAGCUGAUGUGACCUAAUGCUAGAUCCUCUGCUGAAACUACACGGGCUUGCAGUUUAUUCUGAUCAUGCGAUCCAGAUGAUUACAGUAUGGGUUUUGUACCGUAACCACCAGAGGGUUCAUGGAAAGGCUGCUGCUGCUUGUCUGGCUCAGUGACUUCUGAUACCUUUCAUGUUGGAGCACCACUAAUUAAGGCUUCACCACAUUUCCAUUUCAAACCGCAAAAGAGGGUGAAACUGCACACUGUGGCUGGAAACUAUUUACCAAGGCAAGUGUUUCUUAGUAAACAAGGAAAAUGUCUGGAC